rnacentral:rRNA from 1 species
UGAAUACGAGAUGCUACGGCGUCGAAGCAGUGUAUGUCAGACUUCCAAGAAAAGCUCGCAAUGUCAUAAAUAAAGAAUGCCUGUACCAUAACCGACACAGGUGGGUAGGUAGAGUAUACUAAGGGGCGCGAGAUAACUCUCUCUAAGGAACUCGGCAAAAUAACUCCGAAACUUCGGGAGAAGGAGUGCCUUCUUUAAGAAGGUUGCAAUAACAAGAUCCAAGCAACUGUUUAUCAAAAACACAGGUCUCCGCUAAGUCGUAAGACGAUGUAUGGGGGCUGACGCCUGCCCAGUGCCAGAAGGUUAAAGAAGUUGGUUAGCUUUUGCGAAGCUGAUGACUGAAGCCCUGGUGAACGGCGGCCGUAACAAUAACGGUCCUAAGGUAGCGAAAUUCCUUGUCGGGUAAGUUCCGACCCGCACGAAAGGCGUAAUGAUUUGGAUACUGUCUCGGAGAGGGACUCGGUGAAAUAGACUUGUCUGUGAAGAUGCGGACUACCUGCACCAGGACAGAAAGACCCUAUGAAGCUUUACUGUAACUUGAAAUUGAAAUUGGACUUUAUUUGCGCAGUAUAGGUGGAAGGCGUUGAAAGUAAUCUUGCGGGAUUAGUGGAGCCAUCAGUGAGAUACCACUCCUAUAAUGUUAGAUUUCUAACUUUGGAUCAUGAUCUGGUCAAAGAACAGUUUCAGGCGGGCAGUUUGACUGGGGCGGUCGCCUCCCAAAUGGUAACGGAGGCGUACAAAGGUUUCCUCUGAACGGGUAGAAAUCGUAUCUAGAGUGUAAAGGCAUAAGGAAGCUUGACUGUGAGACCUACAAGUCGAGCAGGGACGAAAGUCGGUCUUAGUGAUCUGACGGUGCUGAGUGGAAAGGCCGUCACUCAACGGAUAAAAGUUACUCUAGGAUAACAGGCUGAUCUCCCCCAAGAGUUCACAUCGACGGGGAGGUUUGGCACCUCGAUGUCGGCUCAUCGCAUCCUGGGGCGGUAGUACGUCCCAAGGGUUGGGCUGUUCGCCCAUGAAAGCGGUACGCGAGCUGGGUUCAGAACGUCGUGAGACAGUUCGGUCCAUAUCCGGUGUAGGCGUUAGAAUAUUGAGAGGAGCCUUCUUUAGUACGAGAGGACCGAGAAGGACAUACCUCUGGUGUACCAGUUAUCGUGCCAACGGUAAACGCUGGGUAGCUAUGUAUGGAGAGGAUAACCGCUGAAAGCAUCUAAGUGGGAAGCCCACCUCAAGAUGAGUAUUCGC